UACGUAGGGGGCUAGCGUUGUCCGGAAUCAUUGGGCGUAAAGAGCGUGUAGGCGGCUUGGUAAGUCCGCUGUGAAAGUCCAGGGCUUAACCCUGGAAAGCCAGUGGAAACUGUCAAGCUAGAGUCCGGAAGAGGUGAGUGGAACUCCUGGUGUAGCUGUGAAAUGCGCAGAUAUCAGGAAGAACACCAAUGGCGAAGGCAGCUCACUGGGACGGUACUGACGCUGAGACGCGAAAGCGUGGGGAGCAAACAGG
rnacentral:rRNA from 1 species